CAGCCGCCACGGUAAUACAGAGGGUGCGAGCGUUAAUCGGAUUUACUGGGCGUAAAGCGUGCGUAGGCGGCUUCUUAAGUCGGAUGUGAAAUCCCUGAGCUUAACUUAGGAAUUGCAUUCGAUACUGGGAAGCUAGAGUAUGGGAGAGGAUGGUAGAAUUCCAGGUGUAGCGGUGAAAUGCGUAGAGAUCUGGAGGAAUACCGAUGGCGAAGGCAGCCAUCUGGCCUAAUACUGACGCUGAGGUACGAAAGCAUCGGGAGCAAACAGGAUUAGAUACCCCCGUAGUCCCUGUCUCUUAUAU
rnacentral:rRNA from 1 species